rnacentral:rRNA from 1 species
UACGAAGGUGGCAAGCGUUGUUCGGAUUUACUGGGCGUACAGGGAGCGUAGGCGGUUGGAUAAGCCCUCCGUGAAAUCUCCAGGCUUAACCUGGAAAGUGCAGAGGGGACUGUUCAGCUAGAGGACUGGGAGAGGAGCGCGGAAUUCCCGGUGUAGCGGUGAAAUGCGUAGAGAUCGGGAGGAAGGCCGGUGGCGAAGGCGGCGCUCUGGAACAUUUCGUG